rnacentral:rRNA from 1 species
GCAAGUUGAACGCGAAAGUUUUCUUCGGAAAGCGAGGAGAGUAGCAGACGGGUGAGUAAAGAAUAGGUAAUCUACCCUUGAGGGGGGGACAACUGACCGAAAGGUCAGCUAAUCGCGCAUGACAUUAAUUUAUAUAAGUAAGUUAAUUAAAGGGGGGGCUCCUUCGGGACCUCUCGCUUGGGGAUGAGCUUAUGUCCUAUUAGCUAGUUGGUGGGGUAAUGGCCUACCAAGGCAAUGAUGGGUAGCCGGGCUGAGAGGCUGAUC